ACACCCGCAUCGACUGGAAGGAGACCCCGGAGGCCCACAUCUUCAAGGCAGACCUCCCGGGGAUAAAAAAGGAGGAGGUGAAAGUGGAGGUGGAGGACGGGAGGGUCCUGCAGAUCAGCGGCGAGAGGAGCCGGGAGCAGGAGGAGAAGAACGACAAGUGGCACAGGGUGGAGAGGAGCAGUGGCAAGUUUAUGAGGAGGUUCAGGCUGCCGGAGAACGCGAAGAUUGAUCAGGUGAAGGCAUCGAUGGAGAAUGGGGUCCUGACUGUGACUGUGCCGAAAGAGGAGGAGAAGAAGCCUGCUGUCAAGGCCAUUGACAUUUCCGGCUAAGCUCUUGUGGUGUUAAUUUUUGCUUCUGUGUAUUUCCGAGUAUCUGUGUGUGAGAUGAGUGAUCUGAUGUGUCAAUUUUCAUGUAUGGCUUCUUAUUCUAAAUAUUAUUAUAAAUCUUUAUAAAAGCUGAGUCCAUUUUAUUUUUGAAGAAGUGUCUCUUGGAGAAGAUCUAUUUAAUUUUAUACCACGAAUAUGGAGAUCUACUUACUACGAAUAAGAGUCCUAUGGUGGUCGAAAUUCCUAGCUGCUAUUUGUGGUUUGAUUUGUGAACAAGGUUAUAAUUUCAAAUUUUGAAUUGGUGAUUGUUUCUCUUGGUUUUAGUUUGAGUCUUCGAUCAAUUGAUGUUUUUCUUGAACAUGUGAUUGAUUGAAUAUGAAAGUUUUAAUUUUUUUUGUUUAUGUGGCCGAUUCAAUUUAUUUAUUUAGGUAUAUUUUAUGGAAAAAUUAGUUGUCUGGUUGAUAUGGUUACAAUGUAUAUCAGAUUGCAUGGUUAGUUUUAUUUUGUGUUUUUGAGUCUUAACUCGUUGUAGCAUGACGGUUUGAAACAUUCAGGUUAAGCUUGUUCUUCGGUGAAAUUGGAUUCUAGACCUUCCCUACAAAGAUGUUACCGAUUUUCAUCUUUUCUCAAGAAUACAAGAGAAUAUAUGUGGACAAUUCAACCACAAUGAAGACCAUAUAGAUACUUUAUAAUUUUUUUGUUUUUUGUUUUUUUUUUUUGGUAAACUUGAUAUUAUUCCGGGACAAAGCCGAAGUACAAGGCCAACAAAGAUACAAGAAGCACACAAACUUACAAACUAAACAACCAAAGGUCAAGACCAAAGUACAUUGACAAGCAAAAUGGACCAGCCAAACCAAAGCCCAACCAACAGCGUGGCCCAAAACAAAAAAGAUACGGUCGGAUGUGUGUUUGUUAUCUGCAAGAAACACUGCAUUUGCAAAGCUCCCUGUCGCAAAUUAUCAAAUUGCCGGCUCACCAUCCCGGUUAUCGAACUUAAGGCUUGCGGCAUACAUGUGUAGUGUAGGAUUAAAACUGUAAUUAUAUUAGCUUAUGAAAUUAUUCUAUAUAUAAGCCUAAGUCGUCUAUAGACCUAGUGUAGAUUUUACGAAUUGUGAAAUUGUUGAUUUUAAAAACUACCUAGUUUACGUCGCACACAGGUUUAGUAAUUAAUAAGCUAAUUACAUCAUUCGGUUAAAUACGGGAUAUGUUAACUCGUCGGCCGAAUUUGGUCGGAAAGUAAAAUAUGUUGAUGUGACGUUAGGCAUAUUACUGACUUAUUGAUCUUGCGACCGCGGCCGAGAAAGUAACACGUCUCGAUCUUCACGUUCUAGAGUCUAAAAACAAGGUUGCUAGUUCUGCGAAGUUCAAUAUCAAAUUCAACUUUUAGUGUGCCGAAUUUAGUAACAUGAUAACACCUCACUUCGCCUAAAAAACUGAAAAUAUAACCUCUUCCAACAAGAAGUAAAAAAUUAUUGUCAACCAAAAUUUGGAUAAAUAACUAGUCGGUUUGAAAGUAAUGAUGUUUAUUUAAACAAAAGGUGUUCCUCGUAUUGGGGACAUCAAAGAGACACAAAGAAAAAAUCAUAUUGGGGACAUCAAACCUUCAGUCCUCUCUCACCUACUUGUAAAAUUAGUUUCACAACAUAAUUUAGUAUUUUUUUUUCCUUAAAUACGGUUUUUUUUUUUUUUGAGAAAAAAAUCUAUAUCCAAUUUAACUGAUACUUAAUUUAAUUAAUUUUAUAAUUACCAAUUUGGAUAAAAUAAAAUAAAAUUAAUUAUAAAAAAAAUAAAUCAAUCAAUCAAAAAAGGUUUGUAAGUGCCAACUAUGUUUUGGGCCGAAAGGUACUGUUUGGUACGUAGACGGGAUGGAACGGGACGGAACAGGACAGAACAGAUGAUAUAAAUAUUGAAAAAAAUAAGAAGAAAUUUUGUCAUAAAAUGUUAUAAAUUUGUGUUCCCCGAAUGUGGAACGGGUCGUUCUAGGAGGAAGAGGUGGAACGAAAAUCAACCAAAUUUCAUCCCAUGGACAACCCGUUUCACAAUUUUUAAGCGCAUCAAAUGUGGGACGGUUCGUCCCACGUACCAAAUGGUACCAAAAAGUAACUAAAGGCACUUUCGAGAAGUUGGUGGAAGCUGAUGGAACUCUCUGUUUUUAUUGUUUUUUUCCCUUCUGGAUAGCUGCAGAACUUUCUGUAGUUCUCGGAGAAACCUUCUGUGCCAUCCUAUAUAUAUACAACUCACUCCACAACCCUCCUCAUCAGAUAGAAUUAUCCAAAGCAAUCUAAGCAAAAAUCUCUUGCUCAAAUCCUUCGAAUUCACACCCAGCAAAAACCCAACUCAAACCCACCAUCUAAUGGCUCUCAGUCUCUUUGGCGGACGACGAAGCAACGUCUUCGACCCCUUCUCUCUGGACAUCUGGGACCCUUUCGAGGGCUUCGGCGAUCUGGCCAACAUCCCCUCCUCCGCCCGUGAAACCACCGCCAUCGCCAACACGCGCAUCGACUGGAAGGAGACCCCGAAGGCCCACAUCUUCAAGGUGGACCUCCCGGGGAUAAAAAAAGGAGGAGGUGAAAGUGGAGGUGGAGGACGGGAGGGUCCUGCAGAUCAGCGGCGAGAGGAGCCGGGAGCAGGAGGAGAAGAACGACAAGUGGCACAGGGUGGAGAGGAGCAGUGGCAAGUUUAUGAGGAGGUUCAGGCUGCCGGAGAACGCGAAGAUUGAUCAGGUGAAGGCGGCGAUGGAGAGUGGGGUGCUGACUGUGACUGUGCCGAAAGAGGAGGAGAAGAACCCUGAGGUCAAGGCCAUUGACAUCUCCGGCUAAACUAAAUUCGCAUAACCUCGAUCGGCUACUUUUGAGCUCUGUUUUGGUGUGGUGUUAAGUUCUGCUUGUGUGUAUUUCCGAGUCUCUGUAUGUGAGAUGAGUGAUAUGGUGUGUCAAUUGUCAUGUAUGGGUUCUUCUUCUAAAUAUUAUAAUAAAUCUUUAUAAAAGUUUACAUUAUAUUUCCAAGAAGUGUGUCUGGGAGAAGGUCUAUUUAAUUUGUUUUCCACGAAUAUGAAGAAGAUGACUGUUCACGGCGCGAUUAUCUUGCUCUUAAAGUCUAGAACUUUAACACUUGCGCAUAGAAUUGAUAAAGAUUCUUUCGAUCUUCACACCUGCUAUUGCUAUUAGGAACCAGCUGCUGAGCUGUGACCUACGAAGAUUGCAGAGGAGUAUCAGGCAAAGAAGAAAGUUCGAGAUGUAAAUUUUGUAUGGGAGAAGUACUGCUCAAGUCGACAGUCCAGCAAAGGCGACAUUGAAGACAUCUUACUUACUCCAAGAGCAUAUGGCGAAUGCUCGAAGUUGCUUGAUUAGGACAGGGUCCUAUAGUGGUCGAAAUUCCUAGCUGCUGUUUUUGGUUUAUUUUCAAGGUUAUAUUUUCAACUGUUUUUGGUUUAACUCGUGAUUCGUGAACAAGGUUAUAUUUUCAAAUUUUAAAUUGGUGAUUGUUUCUUUGUUUCUUUUGGUUUUUAGUUUGGAUAUUAAAAGUUUUGUACCGUUUUAAUAUAUGACGUGGAUUGUCUGCCCUUCCACUCUCGUGCCUUCCUGUGCCUUCUUGUUUGUGUGAUCACGGUAGUUAAACCACGUUAACAUUUUAUAUUACUAUUUAUUUUUGUCUUAUUAUUUCUAUAAAAAAAAUAUAAAAUGUUGACGUGUAUGCGCAUACACGUAGACAUUAGACAUGUGUCCAAGUCAUCUUGCAAUUACUUUAUAGGUACAGCGAAAUGAUGAUCGAACCCUAAAUUCUAAACCCUAAAUCCUAGGGAAAAGUAAUUGAUGACAAAAAUACUGAGAAAUAAAAUUGGACUUCCUUCAACUUUCAACCUUCCCUAAGUAGAUAUUGAUAAAGCAGCUUUUUCAACCUUGUAUCGGUCGUAUUCUUGAAUUUGGAAGGAAAAGAGGAGUAAUGCUUCCUAGCAUGGGACAUAGAAUAAGACCUAGAAUAAAACCACUUAGAUUAGAAUAGCAUUCACAUAAAUGUUCUAAAAUAGAGUUAAAUCGAACAUUGAAGAGAUUAGUUGGUCGUUAUUGGGAUGGGUUCAAACAGGAUUGCAAUAAAUAAUAAAAAAUAAAAAAUAAUGAAGGAGCGGAACCUUCAUUUGACUCAAGCCAACCCCAGGUCGGGACGAGACUUUCUUUGUGCUACAAAUUAGUGAAAUUCUAUCUCUUUCGUUACACAACUAAAAAAUGGGCAACAACUCUUGAGUCAAAAGCCUUCUAAGUUAUGCUGAUGAUGAUUAUUUAAACCGUACAAAGCGCGUUUCUAGAACUGUUUAUGUCUUUAUCAUUAGAGAUAUUGCAAUAUUGUGCAUAUCAACCAAACAGGACUUAGUUGCUACGUCUUUCAAUCACACUGAGAUUUUAGCCUGUGCAAAGUAUCGCAUGAAUGAUUUUGGCUAAGGCGCGUGAUUGAUCACAUUAAAACUUUAUGUGAUUUUUCUUACAUCGUUGAUGUUCCAACAACGAUUUAUGAAGACAAUGAUGCGUGUAUCGACUGGUCAUACGCUUGUGUGUUUUAAUAACCACUCUGAAUAUGUGAAAUAUCGAUAUCUUGUAUUAACUCAAUUUUUCUCUGUAAGUCUACUAGUUAUCCCAUAGCAAGGUUUUUAACCGAUAGCUGACAACAACAACCACAUCACCUAAUCACGAAGAAAUGAUGCAGCUACUUCUUAAGUUGUACACACUUAAGUAGGAGUGUUGUGAAUAGAAUCAUUAAUUAGAAAUGUGAUUGUGUAAACUUAAAGUAGAAUUCCACAAGGAUUUGGAGAUCAAAUAAUUAUAGGCUUUGUAUUACUUAUAAGGCAAGAAAACUCAUCAUAAUUAGUGAAGAAAACCCAUCAUAAUUAGUAUUAAAAAGUCACGUGCUAAGGGUGAAUACGCCAUUCUUAUACACAUGAGCCCUUCUUUCAUGUCGUCUCAUUCCUCUCUCACGGUCGCAGGUCUGUUGUCCCUAAUUAUGGUGUCUCCUCUCUAAUUUCUCAACACGUGUACCACCCAUUUCGCCUAAUCUUCACCCCAUUAAAUUUUUAAUAAAACUAAAACCCAAAAACAAAGAAACUAGCAGUGACUAUGUCCUCAUCCACCCCAAUCCAUGCAGUCCCGUGCGCCAGCAACCUAAGCAUUCACCCAUGCUAGCCUCCCCAUGCGCCAGCGGCUACCCUUACUUGUACUUGCCAUCACCAAAAUCCUCUUCCAUCCAAAGGCGGAUUUAUUAAGGGACCUAGGUGGUUUCAGGACCACCCGAAUACUCGGAUAAUUGAAAACUUCCGAGGACCACCCAAGUUUGGGCAGUGAAGGGAAAGAGCAACGAACUGCAUAAUGUUCUAGCUUUUUGCAAACUAGAUGGAAAGAAGAAGAACAAGAAGAAGACCAAUUCUUUUUUAAACGGUAUCCUAGGUCACGUGCUACAAAGUCACAUUAAUCAUUCAAGUAAAGAGUAAUGCUAGGGGGACUAAAUUUGUAAAAAAUAUUUGCAAACUAAAUGAUGUGUCACCAAUAGGAAAUGAGCAUGUUUAUCAAUACUUAAGUAAUAAUCCAAUCAUUAACUUUCAUGUCAUUUAGUUUAUAAAUUUUGUCUAAAAAUUUAGUUUUUCUAGCAUUACUCUUAAAUAAAACGGUGAGCACUGAUGUGGUGUUUGAAAACUCAUUCUAGGUCACGUGGGAGGUUGAGAGCCUCACCAUUUUUUUAAUAAAAAAUAAUAAAAAGAGUUCGACUUUCAAAGAAAGUCCACCCCAAGCAAUAUAGUUCCCUAAUCCCCGGAUUUGGAUCCCAUCCAAAUCUAAAUUGUGAGGAUUCUAGGGAUCCGCACAUCUUAGUCAUUCAUCGUGCAUCGUGUAGUAAAAAAUCAUCUGACUUUUUUUAUUUAAAAUUAAACACAAUUAGUACCUAACGAAAACUGGCCGCACGAUGUACGAUAAACAACUAGGAUGUAGGGAUCCCUAUGAUCCCCACAAAGUGGAUCCGGAGAUGAUCCUUUUCCCUAAUCCCCAAUUCCUACCCCGCUCAACUAAAGGUCACCAUCAUCAGCACAGAACCAAUCUCUAGUCUUCACACACCAAUCGGCACUUCAAGAUCAACUUGGUAUUUAAAUUCAUUCUAUGCGUUGAAGAAAUGACUUUUCUCAAUUGUAAGGGAUUAGUAAUCUUGCUAAAAAAUGAUGAAAAAAGGGUUACAUGAAUUGUUGUUUGUACAAAAAUUAUGAAUAAAAAGUCGUAAUUUAUCGUUUAAUGUUUCAAUUUUACUUUCAUCUAAUUUUUUGGAGCUUUUUGUGAAACUUUAUAGGCCUAAGCAUGAUCUAUCACCGAUAUGAUCCCAACUUAACCACGUAUGGCUUAGUGUUUGGUUUUAUCCCAAAAUGACUGGUAAUAUUAAGGGUGAAAACUCUUAUAUAUUAAUAGUGUUGCAGUCCUAUUAGAUUAGGAAUUUGAUUGUGUAAAUCCUAACAUAUAUAUGAUAUUCUUAUGUGAUUCUACCAUAUCUCUUAGACUAUAUAUUAUCUUUUUAGAGUUGUAAUCCUAUUGGGGUAAGGAAUUUACCUUCACUACUACUAUAAAUAAAGGCACUAUGGGAUGAUAUAACACACACCUUACAAUUAGACAUCUAUCUCUUCUCUCUCUAUGUGCCGCACCCCCUCUCUCUCUCUGGCAUUCAUAAUUGUUCAAUAAAUUAUUCCUACAAUACAUUAUUAGCACGCUCUUAACGCUACGCUAAAGAGAGUUUAUUCUUCAUUCAGGGGAGUAUUAUGUUUUAAUCAUUCUUUUUAUGAUUAAUUUAUUAUUUUAUUGAAUUGACCUACAUGCUAUUGAUUCAAUUUAAUUUCUUAUUUGUUGAACGUGAUACAACACAUUGGAUAUGCAAUUCCGGAUUUCCGAGAAGCAUGUUCUACAAAUUUAAAGGCUUUUGUUGUUUUAUGCCAAUCAGGUAUAUUUAAAAUAAAUGAAGAUAUUUGAAACGACCAUGAAGCGUGAAAACAUUCCUCAUGAUACAUGAACCACUUAAAAUUAUAUUUACCUUUCGAUAUAUAUAUACGUUUCAUGCAUUAUGCAAUUUUUGUUAUUUGAAAUUUGUGAGUCAAAAAAUUGAAAUAAAUUAGAAGCAAGGGUUUUUUAAACCCUUCAAUGGCGGACGAGGUGGUGUUGUUGGAUUUCUGGCCAAGCCCAUUUGGGAUGAGGCUGAGGAUUGCUCUGGCAGAAAAGGGCAUCGAGUAUGAGUACAAAGAUGAGGACUUGUGGAACAAGAGCCCAUUGGUGCUGCAGGUGAACCCGAUUCACAAGAAGAUCCCGGUUCUCAUUCACAAUGGAAAACCAGCCUAUGAUUCCCUCAUUGCGCUUCAGUACAUUGAUGAGGUUUGGAAUGAUAAGCCUCCACUCUUGCCCUUUGACUCUUACCUCACAGCCCAGGCCAGGUUCUGGGCUGACUUUGUCAACAAGAAGGUGAUUUUUACUCAUUAAUUUACUUAUUUUUUUGGGUAAAAGACUGUUUACCACCCUCUUAUUUCGUGGUUUUCAACAUUUAGUACAUCAAGUUUUUUUCGUCUCAGAGUAAUACCUAAAGUGUAAAUUUUGGGACAGUCUCAUACAUCUGUUAGUCAAACUGUUAGUUCUCCCGUUAAGUGAUGACGUGGCGCUCUGAUUGGACGCCACGUGUCAUUAAAAAAAUAAAAAAUUUAUUUAAAUAAAAAUAAUAUUAAAUAAUAUUAAAAUAAAUAUUAAAAUAUUAAAAUAAUAAUAAUAAUUUUUUUUUUCUUCUUCUCUUCUUCUUUUUUUUUUUUUUUUUCUUCUUCUUCUUCUCUUCUUCUUCUGGUUCGGUUCUUUUUUUUUUUUUUUUUUUUUUUCAUUCUUCCUCCUCCUCCUCCUACUUCUUCCUUCUCCUUCCUCCUCCUUCUUCUUCUCCUUCUUCUUCUUCUUCUGGGUUCGGUUUCUCUCUUUUUUUUUCUCUUUUUUUUCUUCUUCUUCUUCUUCCUCCUCUUUCUCCUUCUUCUUCCUUCUCUUUCCUCCUCCUUCUUCUUCUCCUUCUUCUUCUUCUGGGUUCGGUUUCUCUUCUUUUUUUUUUUUUUUUUUAUCCUUCUUCCUCCUCCUUCUUCUUCCUUCUCCUUCCUCCUCAUUCUUCUUCUCCUUCUUCUUCCUUCUUCUUCCUCUUCUUUUCUGGGUUCGGUUUUUUUUUUUUUUUUUUUCUGUUUUUUUCCUUCUCCUCCUUCCUUCUUAAGAAGGAAGAAGAAGGAGAAGAAGAAUGAGGAGGAAGGAGAAGGAAGAAGAAGAAGGAGGAGGAAGGAGAAGGAAGAAGAAGGAGAAGGAGGAGGAAGAAAAAAAAAAAAAAAAAAAAAAAAAGAGAGAACCGAACCCAGAAGAAGAAGAAGAAGAAAAAAAAAAGAAGAAGAAGAGAAGAAGGAAAAAAAAAAUAUUUUAUUAUUUAAAUAUUUAUUUAAUAUUAUUUUUAUUUAAAUAAAUUUUUUAUUUUUUUAAUGACACGUGGCAUCCAAUCGGGGCGCCACGUCAUCACUUAACGGGAGAACUAACAGUUUGACUAACAGAUGUAUGAGACUGUCCCAAAAUUUACACUUUAGGUAUGACUCUGGGACGAAAAAAACUUGAUGUACUAAAUGUUGAAAACCACGAAACAUGAGGGUGGUAAACAGUCUUUUACCCUAUUUUUUUUGUUGUUUUUUUUAACAAGUGAUAUUAUCUACACUAAAAAGAAGGGGAUAGGUUUAGCCUCACAAUGAGUUAGUAAUAAUUUGGUUCAAAUUCGCCCUUUGCAAGAAUCGAAUCUAAGACUUCUCACUUACAAGUGAAUAAGAAUAUUAUUAGACCAUAGUACAAAGUGGCAAUUUCACAACAUAAUUAAGUUUAGUAUUUUUUUUUCCUUAAAUAUGCUUUUUUUUAUUUUAUUUUAAAAAAAAUCUAUGUUCAAUUUAACAUGAUACUUAAUUUUGUAAGUACCAAUUUGGAAAAAAAAAAUAUUAAAAAAAGGGGUUUUUAAGUACCCACUAUGUUUUGGCUGAAAAGGAACUAACCCAAAAAAAGCUCCAGAUCUGCUGUCUCUUAAAAUGUAUCUAAUAUGAGUCUCCUUGUUAAUAUGUUGACAUGUAUUCUUUAACUUGACUUAAAACUUAACUUUGUUAAUUUUAUUUAUUUAACAUUUAAAUUAAAAAAAAACUAAAAUAAUAAAAAACUGUUGGGUUAACGAGAUGAGCAAAUCCAAAUAGGAUUCUUCACCUUCUUUUUUGGUUUGCUGCAACAAUCGCAAGGAUCAGAAAGAACAAGGCGAGUUUGCUGUGCAUUUUUCUCCUUUGAAACAAUCGUAGUUCCAAAUCUAGCAUCCACACCAACAAACUCACUUGCCUCAACUCCAUCAAUCCAAGUUCGAACUUUUACCAAAACGAAAUUGUUCUCGCUCCCAGGCUUCUUCGAAGCAGAAUCAUCAUCAUGCACUAUAUCCCCGGCAGUGAUAGAGCUCGGAUUACCGACUAGUAGAAUAGUCAAAGCUGAAACAAAAACCAACCCACAAAGCCCCUUUCUUUCUCUCUCUUCCUUCCAUGGCUACAAUCUCUACAAAUCUGUGAUGCAGAGGAGGAAGAACCAAAAGGGUUGUUCUUUCUGAUCCUCGCGAUUGUCGCAGCAAACCAAAAAAGAAGGUGAAGAAUCCUAUUUAGAUUUGCUCACCUCGUUAACCCAACAUUUUUUCAUUAUUUUGGAUUUUUUUAAAUUUAAAUGUUAAGUAAAUAAAGUUAAUAGAAUUAAGUUUUAAGUUAAAGAACAUACGUCAGCAUAUUAAUAAAGAGAUAAAUAAGACACAUUUUAAAUGACAGCAGAACUGGAGCCCCCCAAAAAAGGCACUUUCGAGAAGUUGGUGGAAGCUGAUGGAACUCUCUGUUUUUAUUGUAUUUUUCCCUUCUGGAUUGCUGCAGAACUUUCUGUAGUUCUCAGAGAAACCUUCUGUGCCAUCCUAUAUAUAUACAACUCACUCCCCAACCCUCCUCAUCAGAUAGAAUUAUCCAAAGCAAUCUAAGCAAAAAUCUCUCGCCCAAAUCCUACGAAUUCACACCCAGCAAAAACCCAACUCAAACCCACCAUCUAAUGGCUCUCAGUCUCUUUGGCGGACGACGAAGCAACGUCUUCGACCCCUUCUCUCUGGACAUCUGGGACCCUUUCGAGGGCUUCGGCGCUCUGGCCAACAUCCCCUCAUCCGCCCGUGAAACCACCGCCAUCGCCAACACGCGCAUCGACUGGAAGGAGACCCCGGAGGCCCACAUCUUCAAGGCGGAUCUCCCGGGGAUAAAAAAGGAGGAGGUGAAAGUGGAGGUGGAGGACGGGAGAGUCCUGCAAAUCAGCGGCGAGAGGAGCCGGGAGCAGGAGGAGAAGAACGACAAGUGGCACAGGGUGGAGAGGAGCAGCGGCAGGUUUAUGAGGAGGUUCAGGCUGCCGGAGAACGCGAAACUUGAUCAGGUGAAGGCGGCGAUUGAGAAUGGGGUGCUGACUGUGACUGUGCCGAAAGAGGAGGAGAAGAAGCCUGAGGUCAAGGCCAUUGACAUUUCCGGUUAAACUAAAUUCGCGUAACCUCGAUCGGCUACUUUUGAGCUCUGUUUUGGUGUGGUGUUAAGUUCUGCUUGUGUGUAUUUCCGAGUCUCUCUGUAUGUGAGAUGAGUGAUAUGGCGUGUCAAUUGUCAUGUAUGGGUUCUUAUUCUAAAUAUUAUAAUAAAUCUUUAUAAAAGUUUACAUUAUAUUUCCAAGAAGUGUGUCUGGGAGAAGGUCUAUUUAAUUUGUUUUCCACGAAUAUGAAGAAGAUGACCGUUCAUGGCGCGAUUCUCUUGCUCUUAAAGUCUAGAACUUUAACACCUGCGCAUGGAAUUGACAAAGAUUCUUUCGAUCUUCACAUGUGCUACUGCUAUUGGGAACCAGCUGCUGAGCUCGUGCGUCCUACGAAGGUUGCAGAGGUGUAUCAGGCAAAGAAGAAAGUUAGAGAUACAAAUUUUGUAUGGGAGAAGUAAUGCUCAAGUCGACAGUCCAGCAAAGGCGACAUUGAAGACAUCUUACUUACUCCAAGAGCAUAUGGCGAAUGCUCGAAGUUGCUUAAUUAGGACAUGGUUCUACAGUGGUCGAAAUUCCUAGCUGCUGUUUUUGGUUUAUUUUCAAGGUUAUAUUUUCAAGAGAACUUUAACGAAAAACUUCCAGUACUGUUUACUUUAACGAAAAAUCAUAUUUUUACACUAAAAAAUUAAUCAUGCUAUUAUUCAUUUUACCUUUUAUUUUAUCCUUACUGUUAAAACUCAAAAUUUUUAAGUCAUUUUUAUUAGUUUUUCUUAUUUUCAACUGUUUUUGGUUUGACUCGUGAACAAGGUUGUGUUUGCAAUUUUAAACCGGUGAUUGUUUCUUUUGUUUCUUUUGGUUUUUAGUUUGGAUAUUAAAAGUGUUGUACCGUUUUAAUAUAAAACAAAGCUUUUGAGUACUUCCAUGGUCAUCUUAACCCUGGAUGCAAAACGAGAUUGAUUCAAUCCUAAACGAGAUCAAUUAUUUAAGUGAAAUCAACCGCUGUAUUUUACUUGUAGACUAGAGCUGACAUAUCUUUUGUUGUGAAUUUUAGCAAGGUACAACAAUGCGCCUACACGUAGACACUAGACAUAUGUCCAAGUCAUCCUGCAAUUACUUUAUAGGUAUAGUGAAAUGAUGAUCAAACCCUAAAUUCUAAACCCUAAACCCUAGGGAAAAGUAAUUGAUGACAAAAAUACUGAGAAAUAAAAUUUGACUUCCUUCAGCUUUCGACCUUCCCUAGGUAGAUAUCCAUAUAGUAGCUUUUUCAACUUUGUAUCGGUCGUAUUCUUGAAUUUGGAAGGAAAAGAGGAGUAAUGCUUCCUAGCAUGGGACAUAGAAUAAGACCUAGAAUAAGGCCACUUAGAUUAGAAUAGCAUUCACAGAAAUGUUCUAACAUAGAGUUAAAUCGAACAUUGAAGAGAUUAGUUGGUCGUUAUUGGGACGGGUUCAAACAGGACUGCAAUCAAUAAUAAAAAAAAUAAAAAAUAAAAGAAUGAAGGAGCGGAACCUUCCUUUGACUCAAGCCAACCCCAGGUCAGGACGAGACUUUCUUUGUGCUACCAAUUAGUGAAAUUCUAUCUCUUUCUUACACAACUAAAAAAUGGGCAACAACUCUUGAAUCAAAAGCCUUCUAAGUUAUGCUGAUGAUGGUUAUUUAAACCGUACAAAGCGCGUUUCUAGAACGAUUUAUGUCUUUAAAUUCAUUCUAUGCGUUGAAGAAAUGACUUUUCUCAAUUGUAAGGGAUUAGUAAUCUUGCUAAAAAUGAUGAAAAAAGGAUUACAUGAAUUGUUGUUUGUACAAAAAUUAUUAAUAAAAGUUGUAGUUUAUCGUUUAAUGUUUCAAUUUUAUUUUCAUCUAAUUUUUUGGAGCUUUUUGUGAAACUUUAUAGGCCUAAGCAUGAUCUAUCACCGAUAUGAUCCCAACUUAACCACGUAUGGCUUAGUGUUGGGUUUUAUCCCAAAAUGACUGGUAAUAUUAGGGGUGAAAACUCUUAUUUAUUAAUAGUGUUGCAGUCCUAUUAGAUUAAGAAUUUGAUUGUGUAAAUCCUAACUUAUAUAUGAUAUCCUUAUGUGAUUCUACCAUAUAUUUUAGACUAUAUAUUAUCCUUUUACAGUUGUAAUUCUAUUGGGGUAAGGAAUUUACCUUCACUACUACUAUAAAUAAAGGCACUAUGGGAUGAUAUAACACACACCUCACAAUUACACAUCUAUCUCUUCUCUCUCUAUGUGAUGCACCCCCUCUCUCUGGCAUUCAUAAGUGUUCAGUAAAUUAUGCCUACAAUACAUUAUCAGCACGCUCUUGAUGCUACGCUAAAGAGAGUUUAUUCUUCAUUCAGUGAAGUAUUACGUUUUAAUCAUUCUUUUUAUGAUUAAUUUAUUAUUUUAUUGAAUUGACCUACAUGCUAUUUGUUGAUGCACAAAACCGGAGGGGUCUUGGAACAACGUAAAUCUGACCGUGAAUCUGCAAGAAAUUAAAUAACACAAGAUGUAUCGUGGUUCAUCCCAAUGUUCGGGCUACGUCCACACUGAUAUUGUAUUUCUCUGUUUGUGAGAGGAUUGUGAGGGUGAGAGCCUCUGUAAUGUGAGAGUGAUGCUUCUCUUUAGGGAUCUGAGACCCUUCCGUUUGUGAGGGUGAGGAUACCCCUUUUAUAGACUAAGAGCUCCUCACUUAUUACAUAUUUCCCCCUUCAUUUAUUACAUAAUUACAUUUGAGUCCCCCGAGUAUUUAUACGAGGUCUAAAUACGGAGGCCCUAAGUAUGGUACAAACAGUAGUCCCCCAAGUCUUCAGUCAAGAGAGUCUUUUGGCUAGAGACUUGAAAUUCAGUCCAUGUGUAGGCCGAAGUAACUAGAUGUCGUCUAGGACUGAUACUCGAUAUGAAGCGGUGCUCAAUCUGAAAUAAUGUUCAACUAGAAGUAGCACAUGUUGCAAGGCUGCUCGGUUUGUGGCUUAUGUUGCCUUGGUUGGCUCGGCUUGUGGCGUUGAAGGUGAGGGAGUCCCUUUUAUAAAAUAAGGGCUCGCUCCUCAAUACAUAAGUGAUGGGCUAGAGUUUAUGCUCGCGGCGAGACGGUUGCUCAGCUGGCGACGAUGCUCUCUAAUGAUGGUGAGGGAGUCCCUUUUAUAGAAUAAGGGAUCGCUCCUCAAUACAUAAGUGAUGGGCUAGAGUUGAUGCUCACGGCGAGACGGUUGCUCAGCUGGCGACGCUGCUCUCUAAUGAUGGUGAGGGAGUCCCUUUUAUAGAAUAAGGGAUCGAUCCUUAAUACAUAAAUGAUGGGUUAGGAGUGAUGCUCGCGGCGAGGUGGUUGCUCAGCUGGCGGCGAUGCUCUCUAAUGAAGGUGAGGGAGUCCCUUUUAUAAAAUAAGGGAUCGCUCCUCAGUACAUGAAUAAUGGAUGCUUUCUAAUGAAAGUGAAUGAGUCACUUUUAUAGAAUAACGACUCGCUCCUCAAUACAUAAAUAAUGGGUUAGAGUCCCCCAAGUAUUUUUCAUGAGGCCCAGUUGAGGCCCAAUAUAUGGUACAUAAUGUAGUUCCCCAAGUCUUCAGUCAAUAGGGUCUGUUGGCUGGAGACUUCAAAUUGAAUCCAUGUAUGGGCCGAAGUGGUGGUUGUUCGGAGACGGUAUUUGUAUAUCCUUGUCACACCCCGGACCCGGGGUAGGUGGAAAAUUCGAUCCCAAGUCUGAAACGCGAACUAAAAACUAAAUAAAUAAAAUAAAACGGAAACGGGUUGGAAAAUAAAAUUCUUCUUAUUUAAAAUAACUCAAUAAUUCUUUACAAGGCUAAAUAAAUAAAUACAAAUUCUAGCCUCACAUCUAUCUCGUUUCAUCCCGUCUACCAUUUUGACAGUUUAGUUAGUAAACCUGCAUAACAAUAGAGGGGUGAGCUUCAACAGCUCAGUAGGAACAUAACCUUACCACAGUAAAAUUGACAAUACUAAAUUACGUGUUAUAAAAUCAUGUAAUCAAGUACCAAAUCAUUCUCGAUAACAAUGCAUGAAUGCAAUGCAAAACUCUUCAUCUUUGCCCGUUAAUUCAUAUAAUAAAACACGCGGACCUGCACGUCCCAUACCGUGCAUUUUACCUCUGCAGUGGUGGUUCGAAUGUUUUAAUAUACAAAUUAACCCCAUGUAACUCAAUCAUCCCAAUUUCCCAAACUCUUCGUCGCCAGUCCCGAAUUACCCUUAAAGAAUUUAUGCAUUGUGGGCUCGCCUGAGACCUGGUACCUGCUAAGAGUUUGGCUCAACUACACAAAAGAUAUUUCCAACUACCCUCAUUUCCAGAAUUCCUUCCUCAACACCAAACUUCCAACUAUUCUCACACAUAAGUGAUGCACAAAUAAUCUCAUUUCAUCAUUCACAUGUACCAGAACAUAUUCUCAGCGAAUAUAACUUCACCAAUAAUUUCGUAUCCAAUAACGAGUAAACACACAAGAGCAGUAUUUGUCCAAUUAGUAAACCAUAUCACAUUAAUCAACCAACAAGAUCGAUAAUAAUAUAAUGUUUCACGAAAUUUAAUAAAGCCAAUCUCCGUAAAGGUCUGCCGUAUUUCCCUUACCUAGAGUCCAAAGCAAGCAAACAAUGUCCCUUACCAACACCUCGAUUAAACACAACCAUCGUGGUAACUGGAGUCCCUGAUCCAACAAAUAAACUAUAUCACUGUAUAAUCCCUAUAUCUAACACCCAAUAUAAACUCCUUUAUUUUAGAAUUCCAAUAUUAGGCUUAACAUCACCUUAUCUUAGUUGGACCCUUAAAACAUUUUUCUUUCUUAUUUGGGUCCUAAAAAAUUUCUCAAUUAUAUACAUGCUACCAAGAAGCAUUUGCCCACAAAACAAUUCUAAAAUCACAGUUUUGUCCCAAGCCUUCGGGUAAUAACAAAACUACCCUUAACUUUCAGAGAACUGUAAAAUGGCCCCAAAUCUGAACUUCUAUUUCAGUUUGGUCCCUGUAGGGUGAAUAGUGAUAUUCAUGGCUAUUUUCCAGAUUGGUUCCUCUUGUCUUUCAAUCCAAAACAUGUCUAAACCCAUUUAUCAUGAUCUCUAAGUACCAAAUCACCAUUCAAGUUCACCAAGUUCCCUUAAUUUCGUAACAGCCACAAAAUAUCAAGGUUUAAAAACCAUGAAAUAAUUCUAGGGUUUGCAGCAGCUAGCCCAUAAAGAAUAUAACCUCAAUUCGUUCAGUUAUGCUUCCAAUAAGCUUAAUCCACCAUAAACAACAUUUAAAUUUAAAGAUUAAAGUUUGUGUAGGAAUAAAUCCCAAAAAUGGCAGCUUUCAAAAUCUGCAGUAAAUCCAUAAAUUAUUACUUGAGAUUUGUAAUACUCUUCCCCACGAAAGUGGAAUCAAAUUCGAACUUCCAAAUCAAAAGUUAAGAGAAAAUUGGUGUUUGGUUGAGACAAGGAGAUGAAGCUCAUUGCUUCCUCUUUGCAUCUUUCCGUGAAGAGAAGAAGAAAGACCAUUAGGUCUUUCGAUCCAAUAUAUAGGUGCACUUGCACCGCUUUCUUCAUUUGUGAUCCAAUGUCCACUUGCCACGUUUCAACGUAAUUCUAUCUUCUUCUUAAGGUCCAACUAAAACCUGCCAAGUGGUAGACUUGGCACUUAUUUGAGAACCCGGAUCAUAUCCUUUUGCUGUCACCUUCAGGAGCUGUCAUGUGGUGAUUCGCCAUUGGUCCAGCUUGUAAAUUCAAUUAAAACCUACACUCCGAAAAAUCAUCUAAAAGAUUAUACAAAAUCGCAAUGACGUUCACUACCUUCAUAUGAAAACCUUUUGAAUAAAUAAGCACAACAUAUUUUUUCCAAAUAUUUUUCUUAUUCAAUAAUAAAUUCUUGGGAUAUUACAAUCUUGCACUAAAGCUUUGUAGGUGAAGCUUUGCAAGUGAAGCUUUGAAGCUAGAGCUCUGUAAAUGAAGCUUUCGAAGUUGGAGCUUUUGUAAAUGAAGCUUUUGAAGCUAGAGCUUUGUAAAUGAAGCUUUCGAAGCUGGAGCUCUAUAAAUGAAGCUUUCGAAGCUAGAACUCUAUAAAUGAAGCUUUCGAAGCUAGAGCUUUGUAAAUGAAGCUUUUGAAGCUAGAGCUUUGUAAAUGAAGCUUUCGAAGCUGGAGCUCUAUAAAUGAAGCUUUCGAAGCUAGAGCUUUGUAAAUGAAGCUUUCGAAGCUAGAGCUUUGUAAAUGAAGCUUUUGAAGCUAGAGCUUUGUAAAUAAAGCUUUUGAAGCUAGAGCUUUUGUAAAUGAAGCUUUUAAAGCUAGAGCUCUGUAAAUGAAGCUUUUGAAGCUAGAACUUUUGUAAAUGAAGCUUUUGAAGCUAGAACUCUGUAAAUGAAGCUUUCGAAGCUAAAUUGACAUGAGUGAUGCUCAUGAAUGUUUAUGUUGAUUGACAUGAGUGAUGCUUAUGAAUGUUAACAUGAGUGAUGCUUAUGAAUGUUGACAUGAAUGAUGGUCAUGAAUAUUUAUGUAUGAUUGACAUGAGUGAUGUUCAUGAAUGUUUAUGUAUGAUUGACAUAAGUGGUGCUCAUGAAUGUUUAUGUAUGAUUGAUAUGAGUGAUGCUCAUGUAUAAUUUUGGAGUACUGGACAUACUUUUGAUCACCUGGUUGGUGAUAAUAGCGGCAGGCUGCCGAAUAAUUUUGGGAGUACUGGACGUACUUUUGAUCACCUGGUUGGUGAUAAUAACGGCAAGGUGUCGAAUAAUUUUGGAAGUACUGGGCGUACUUUUGAUCACCUGGUUGGUGAUAAUAGCGGCAGGGUGCCGAAUAAAUUUGGAGCCAUAAGGCUUGGCUCUUUUGGGCAUAUGGCCCUUCGCCAUCCACAUGACAUUGCAGCCCAUUAUUUUAGGCUUGCCUUUUUUUUAUAUUUUAUUUUAUUUUUAUGAUUACCCUCUGAUGGGGUUAUACAGAUGUCUUUGAAAGAUAAGAAAAAUAAAUUACAUCAUUCAAAAAUAAAUCUGACCCUCUGCUCAAUGGGUCACGCCCAUAAUUCUCUUUUCUGCAUGUCAUCACCACAACAAUUAUGUCUGCUUUUUUUUUUUUUUAUCUUAUUUUGCUUUGCUGCUUUUGUUUUUCCCACUUCAUUUCCUGCAACUUUCAAAACGUCAAGGUUGGCAGAGCCCAUCUGCAGACUUGCUUUUGCUUUUUCUUUUCACUUUUAUGGGAGUGGUUGAGCUGUCUGAGGGCCUUUCUUUUUCUUUUGUUGGAUAAGUGCGACAAAGCAUCAAUAUGCUAGCACAUGUGAAUAUCUGGUAAAGCUAAGUCUUUUGUUGGGAAAAGUUAUUCCUUUUGUCUAAGUGGGUUGUUGAAGAUAACCCAUCAUUGCAGCUCCACCACAAGUUUGCAUCUUAGCUUCCAUGCUCGCCGACAGUACCGUAUGGACUGGAUUCCAAUGUUCAGUUGCAAACUCGCAGCCAUUUGGACCGUCACCAGGAAGCCUUGAAUUGAAACACACAUUGUUUUACUGAAAACAGCAACUUUCUCUUCCUCUCCUCAGAAACAACUUAGCACCUAGAACAGAGAGGGAAACAUCCUGCGGACGGCAAGGUCACCGAGAAGCUUGUAACGGAGAGACUUGGCCUGAGCAAUAGCGCACAGCCCUCUGUUGUUAACCUUCUCAACGUAAAGCUCAACGCUGUUUUCUGGAAACUUAAACCUCUUCUGUACAACAGAGGUUAGCUCCCUGAUCCUCAUCCCCUUCUCUCCGAGAACGUUUUGGGUUCAGGUGGCUCGGAUGAUGAUCUGGGUUCGCAUCGGCAUAACCCUAACUUCAACGCCGGAGUAGCCGUCUUCGGCGAGCUCUCUCGUCAACACCUCGUUCAGCUCGGCGAAGAAAACGUCAUUGGCGAUGAACAUUCUGCGGACGGCAAGGUCACCGAGAAGCUUGUAACGGAGAGACUCGGCCUGAGCAAUAGCGCACAGCCCUCUGUUGUUAACCUUCUCAACGUAAAGCUCAACGCUGUUUUUUGGAAACUUAAACCUCUUCUGUACAACAGAGGUUAGCUCCCUGAUCUUCAUCCCCUUCUCUCCGAUAACGUUUUGGGUUCAGGUGCCUCAAAUGAUGAUCUCGGUUUGCAUCGGCAUAACCCUAACUUCAACGCCGGAGUAGCCGUCUUAGGCGAGCUCUCUCGUUAGCACCUCGUUCAGCUCGGCGAAGAAAACGCCAUUGGCGAUGAACUUUCGCUUCUUGCUCAUUUGGGUCGCAGUCGCCAUGGUUGUGGGUGUGAAAGUUGCAGAGAUGGGAUCUGAAAUAUGGUGGCAGGAGAGGAUUCAAGGCCACCUGGGUAUCUACAACAUUGUUCAACUUGAUGCCAAACUGAAAGUACAGGGCCUCACUAUCUCGUUUGCAAUCAUGAAUGACUUUGGUGAUAUAGGAAUACUCAAGUGCAGGCUUACAGGCAUUGAUCAGCAUCACCCCUCCCUGAAUGGCAUCAACCAGAUAUAUAGCAUUUGGAAAUACAAGCUGCAUGAUACAGAGAGUUCCAUGACGACAAAGGUUAACUCCCUUGCAAUCAAAACCAAUGACAAAUGGCCUUUCAGCUGAAAGCUGGGCCAGGCGAAAGAGGAAUGUGAGUCUAUAAAGGAGGAGGUACAGAGGUCAUGCGAUCGGACCAUCCACGCCAAUCUUUAAUUUUGCCUCCAAACCAACGAAACCCUGAUUGUCUCUUAUUCUCUCUCUUCUCAUAUGCUGAUUGAAUGAGUGUGAUUGUAACUGACAAAUAAUGGUAGAGAGAGAAAAAGUUUGUGGUGUUUUGUUUGAAAAGGUGAAAGAGAUCAGAAGCAAAAGUGAGGUAGAGAGAAUUUUGGUUGUCUCUUGGGUUUUGCAGAUCCACGGCGAAGGUGAAAAUUGAGAUAGGACCGACAUAGCUUUUCGUGUCACUUCCCACAGACGACGCCAAAUGUUGAUGCACAAAACCGGAGGGUCUUGGAACAAUGUAAAUCCGACCGUGAAUGUGCAAGAAAGUAAAUAACACAAUAUGUAUCGUGGUUCACCCCAAUGUGCGGGCUACAUCCACAUUGAUAUUGUAUUUCUCUGUUUGUAAAAGGAUUGUGAGGGUGAGAGCUUCUGUAAUGUGAGAGUGAGGCCUCUCUUUGGGGAUCUGAGACCCUUUCGUUUGUGAGGGUGAUGAGGCCCCUUUUAUAGACUAAGGGCUUCUCACUUAUUACAUAUUUCCCCCUUCAUUUAUUACAUAAUUACAUUUGAGUCCCCCGAGUAUUUAUACAAGGUCUAAAUACGGAGGCCCUAAGUAUGGUACAAACACUAUUGAUUCAAUUUAAUUUUUUAUUUGUUGAACGUGAUACAACACAUUGGAGAUGCAAUUCCGGCUUUCCGAGAAAGAUGUUCUACAAAUUUAAAGGCUUUUGUUGUUUUAUGUUAAUCAGGUACGUUUAAAAUAAAUGAAGAUAUUUGAAACGACCAUGAAGCAUGGAAACAUUCCCCAUGAUGCAUGAACCCCUUACAAUUAUAUUUACCUUUCGAUAUAUAUAUACGUUUCAUGCAUUAUGCAAUUUUUGUUAUUUGGAAUUUGCGAGUCAGAGAAUUGAAAUAAAUUAGAAGCAAGGGUUUUUCAAACCCUUCAAUGGCGGAUGAGGUGGUGUUGUUGGAUUUCUGACCAAGCCCAUUUGGGAUGAGGCUGAGGAUUGCUCUGGCAGAAAAGGGCAUCGAGUAUGAGUACAAAGAUGAGGACUUGUGGAACAAGAGCCCACUGUUGUUGCAGAUGAACCCGAUUCACAAGAAGAUACCGGUUCUCAUUCACAAUGGAAAACCAGCCUAUGAUUCCCUCAUUGCGCUUCAGUACAUUGAUGAGGUUUGGAACGAUAAGGCUCCACUCUUGCCCUUUGACUCUUACCUUAUAGCCCAGGGCUGACUUUGUCAACAAGAAGGUGAUUUUUACUCAUUAAUUUACUUAUUUUUUGUUGUUGUUUUUUUUUUUUCAACAAACGAUAUUAUCUACACUAAAAAGAAGAUGGUAGGUUUAGCCUCACAAUGAAUUAUUAAUAAUUUGGUUCAAAUUCGCUAUUUGCAAGAAUCGAACCUAAGACCUCUCACUUACAAGUAAAAAAGAAUAUCCCUAUACCGUAGUACAAGAUGACAAUUUCACAACAUAAUUAAGUUUAGUAUUUUUUUUCUAAAAUAUGCUCUUUUAUUUAUUUUUAAAAAAUCUAUGUUCAAUUUGACAUGAUACUUAAUUUUCUAUGUACCAAUUUGGAAAGAAAAAAAAUUUAAAAAAAAGGGGUUUAUAAGUACCAACUAUGUUUUGGGCCGAAAAGGAACUAACCCAAAAAAAGGGCCUUUCGAGAAGUUGGUGGAAGCUGAUGGAACUCUCUGUUUUUAUUGUUUUUUUUCCCUUCUGGAUUGCUGCAGAACUUUCUGUAGUUCUCGGUGAAACCUUCUGUGCCAUCCUAUAUAUAUACAACUCACUCCACAACCCUCCUUAUCAGUUAGAAUUAUCCAAAGCAAUCAAAGCAAAAUCUCUCACUCAAAUCCUUCGAAUUCACACCCAGCAAAAACCCAACUCAAACCCACCAUCUAAUGGCUCUCAGUCUCUUUGGCGGACGACGAAGCAACGUCUUCGACCCCUUCUCUCUGGACAUCUGGGACCCUUUCGAGGGCUUCGGCGCUCUGGCCAACGUCCCCUCCUCCGCCCGUGAAACCACCGCCAUCGCCAACACUCGCAUCGACUGGAAGGAGACCCCGGAGGCCCACAUCUUCAAGGCGGACCUCCCUGGGAUAAAAAAGGAGGAGGUGAAAGUGGAGGUGGAGGAUGGGAGGGUCCUGCAGAUCAGCGGCGAGAGGAGCCGGGAGCAGGAGGAGAAGAACGACAAGUGGCACAGGGUGGAGAGGAGCAGUGGCAAGUUUAUGAGGAGGUUCAGGCUGCCGGAGAACGCGAAACUUGAUCAGGUGAAGGCGGCGAUGGAGAAUGGGGUGCUGACUGUGACUGUGCCGAAAGAGGAGGAGAAGAAGCCUGAGGUCAAGGCCAUAGACAUUUCCGGUUAAACUAAAUUCGCAUAACCUCGAUCCGCUACUUUUGAGCUUUGUUUUGGUGUGGUGUUAAGUUCUGCUUGUGUGUAUUUCCGAGUGUCUCUGUAUGUGAGAUGAGUGAUAUGGUGUGUCAAUUGUCAUGUACGGGUUCUUGUUCUAAAUAUUUAUAAUAAAUCUUCAUAAAAGUUGGAGUACAUUAUAUUUCCAAGAAGUGUCUCCGGGAGAAGGUCUAUUUAAUUUUUUUUCCACGAAUAUGGAGAAGAUGACCGUUCAUGGCGCGAUUCUCUUGCUGUUAAAGUCUAGAACUUUAACACUUGCGCACAGAAUUGACAAAGAUUUGUUCGCUCAUGACAUGUGCUACUGCUAUUGGGCGCCAGCUGCUGAGCUCGUGUCUCCUACGAAGAUUGCAGAGGAGUAUCAGGCAAAGAAGAACGUUAGAGAUGCAAAUUUUGUAUGGGAGAAAUAAUGCUUAAGUCGACAGUCCAGCAAAGGCGACAUUGAAGACAUCUUACUUACUCCAAGAGCAUAUGACGAAUGCUCGAAGUUGCUUAAUUAGGACAGAGUCCUAUAGUGGUCGAAAUUCCUAGCUGCUGUUUUUGGUUUAUUUUCAAGGUUAUAUUUUCAACUGUUUUUGGUAUAACUUGUGAACAAGGUUAUAUUUUCAAAUUUUAAACUGGUGAUUGUUUCUUUUGGUUUUUAGUUUGGAUAGUAGAGGUGUUGCACCGUUUUAACAGGAUAAAACAAAGCUUUUGAGUACUUCCAUGAUCAUUCUAACCUGGAUGCAAAACAAGAUCGAUUUCACCCCAAAACGAGAUCAAUUACUUAAAGUGAAAUCAAAGUUGUAUUGUACUCGGUACACUAGAGUUGACAUAUCCUUUGUUGUGAAUUUUAGCAAGGUACAACAAUGCGCAUACACAUAAAUACUAGACAUGUGUCCAAGUCAUCCUGCAAUUACCUUAAAGGUACAGUGGAAUGAUGUUCGCCUUCUAAGUUAUGCCGAUGAUGGUAAUUUAAACUGCAACUGUACAAAGCGUGUUUUUAGAACGGGUUAUGUAUAUUCCAUUAGAGAUAUUGUAAUAUUGUGUAUAUCAACCAAACAGGACUUCGUUACUACGUCUUUAAAUCACAUUGAAAUUUUAGCCUAUGCAAAGUAUCGCAUGAAUGAUUUUGGCUGAGGCACGUGAUUGAUCACAUUAGACCUUUAUGUGGUUUUUCUUACAUAGUUGAUGUUCCAAGAACAAUUUAUGAAGACAACAAUGCAUUUAUCGACCAAUUAAAGAAAUGAUCCACCAAAGGCAACAUUACAAAGUAUACCGUCACGAAGUUUUUCUUCACUCAUUGGCAACAAAAGCAUCAGGAGAUCAAAGUUAAGCAAAUCCGAUCCUAAGACAACUAUGCUGACCUCUUCAUGAAGUCAAUACGAAAUCUACUUUUCAAAAGCUUGUUCAUGAAAUUAGACUGCAUAAUCUUUUAAAUUUAUGUCACUGAUAAUUCUCUUGGAGAGUUUUAUCGAACUCAGGAGAGUAUCUUAUAGUAUACUUACAUGAUCUUAACAUACGUUUUUCCUUAUGAUCAAGAGUAGUUUUCCUAUUGAAUUUUUGCUAACUUGACGAAUUUUUUUGAUGAAGUACCUACACUUGACUGGUCAUACGCUUGUGUGUUUUAAUAAUCAUUCUAAAUAUGUGAAAUAUCGCAUCAUGUAUUAACUCAUUUUUUUCCCCGUAAGUCUACUGGUUGUCAGAGCAAGGUUUUUACCGAUAGUUGAGGACAACAAUGCUACUUCUUAAGUUGUACAUACUUAAGUAGGAGUGUUGUGAAUAGAAUCAUUAAUUAGGAACGUGAUUGUGUAAACUAAAAGUAGAAUUCCACAAGGAUUUGGAGAUCAAAUAAUUAUUGGCUUUGUAUUACUUAUAAGGGAAGAAAGUCCAUCAUAAUUAGUAUUAAAAAGUUACAUGCUAGGGGUGAACACACCAUUCUUAUACAUACGAGCCCUUCUCUCUAUGUCGUCCCCUUCCUUUAUCAACGGUCGCGGGUCUGUUGUCCCUAAUUGUGGUGUCUCUUUUCUAAUUUCUCAACACGUGUACCACCCAUUUCACCUAGCCUUCACCCCAUUAAAUUUUUAAGGGACCUAGGUGGUUUCAGGACCACCCCGAUGCUCAGAUAAUUCGUUAUUAGAACUUCUAAGGACCACCCCAGUCUGGGCAGUGAAGGGAAAGAGCAACGGCUACAUACUGUUCUGGCUUUUUGCAAACCAGAAUGAGAGAAGAAGAAGAAGGCCAAUUCUUUUUUAAACGGUAUCCUAGGUCACAUGCUAGUCACAUUGAUUAUUCAAGUAAAGAGUAAUGUUAGGGAGACUAAAUUUGUAAAAAAAAAUUGCAAACUAAAUGAUAUAUCAUCAAUAAGAAAUGAGCAUGUUUAUCAACGCUUAAGUAAUAAUCCAAUCAUUAACUUUCAUAUCAUUUAGUUUAUAAAUUUUGUGUAAAAAUUUAGUUUUCAUAGCAUUACUCUUAAAUAAAACGAUGAGCAUCGAUGUGGUGUUUGAAAACUCAUUCUAGGUCACGUAUGAGAUUGAGAGCCUCACCAUUCUUUUAAUAAAAAAUAAAAAAAGAGUUCGACUUUCAAAGAAGGGUAAAUUACACAAAACUACCUCACUUAUUGGUCGAACCACAAUUUCAUACCCCCAUGUUUUAAAAAUUACAAUGUCAUACCUCAUCUUAUGAAUUUGUUGCAAUGUCAUAUCUCUGUCAGUUUUUUUGUCAAUUUAUCUGUUAAAUGCUGACGUGGCUUGAGGCGAUGCCCACUCCCUAAUCCAACUGGAUUAAAAAAAUUAAUUAAAUAUAAAACAAAUUAAAAAAAAUUCAUUUCAAUUAUUUUGUAAAAAACGUGGGGCCCACCAUGACCCUCAACCUUCUUCCCAGUCUACUAAGAGCAGUUCCACCGGAGGUGGAAUAGCCUAGCACCUAGUCAAAAAACCAGGCUAGGACCCUGUCAAUCUACUCCAGCCCGUGGAAUAGACUGGCACCCAGCUCAAGCCAGUCCACAGGCCGGCCUAAAAUCGACAGAGGAAGGAGACGGCUCAUAUGAUGCCAUGCUAACGUCAUGGCCACAUCUCUCUCAUCUGGAACCCCAUUCGACGCCUAGAACCCCAUCCCGAUCCUUGGAACCCAUCCCGAUGGAGCGAGCGGGCUUGGAGGCGAGGGGGGAGGUUGAGGUUGUUGAGCUUGAUCUUGCAGAAGCAUGGGGAGAAUGAAGGGUGAACGACGGAGCGAGCGGGCUUGGAGGCGACGAGGAUCUUGAGAGCGAGAUUGCCCACUGUGACACGCACAAAUGGGCAUGGAUCCAUUUUUCACCAGCAAAAUAAAAUCAAAGGGGGAAAUGCUAAUGCGCCUAUGCCUCUCUCCCUCUCUCCCUCUCUCAGUUGAGUGUUGGGGCAAAUAGUGUUGUUGCUGCCAUUGAUUUCUGGCAAGUGGGAAGAAGAAGAAGGAGAAGAAGACGACAGGAGUCAGAGAAAAAGGAGUCGGAGAGAAAAGUCAGAAAUUAAAAAACCAAAUUAUUAUUUUAUAGUAAAAAUUAAUAAUAUUUUAAUAAAAUUGACUAGGCUAUAUUUUGUUAGGGGUGGAGAUGUUUUGGUCUAUUACUGUUCACUGUGGUCUAUUACUGUUCAUUUGAGUGGAUAAAUGCGCUGGGUGCUGGCGCAAAGUCUUUAGGGGUGGAAUUGCUCUAAGCCUUCUUUUCCAGUCCACCGACGAUCUCCAUAUCCAUCAUCUGCCACCACACCAUCAUCCCCACCACCACUUCUGCCUUCUUAAUCGUCGUCAAAUCUUAAUUUUCUGGUGCGUCUCUGUCACCGCAUCCAAACAUCGCCAGAACCCUAAUGUCUCUAGGAAAUCGCAACCCCCAGAACCAAGUCGGCUCAGUUUCUGCUGAAAAGCGAUCCGGCGACGUUGAUUGUGUGAUGACGGCCUGAUCAGAAAUGACAAAGCCCUCUCACCAAAUCAUCUUCCACUCCUCCGAUUCUCACCGGCGACGGCCUGGCAGUUAUUGUUCUUGCUGUUGCGGAACUAAUUCUUCACCAAAAUUGAACGAUUGGGAGAUCCAGGGCGGUUCACGAAUCGUACAGAUGACGACAACGGGGAAGGAGAAUGGGCGUACAUGAAGAGGUGCGUAGGGGAGAUGAAACGUGUGAAGAACGUCAACAACCUAGAGGAGAACCUCCAAGAUGUGGACGACGUGAAGCCCGAUAAUGAGGAAGAAAAUAACGGCCCAGCCUCCUUUCCCGAACCCCAAACUAAAACACAAAAAAACCCGAUCGAUUGGUGCUAAGAAUUUGAAAUUUAGGGUUAGGGUUUGGAUGAAAUUGGGGUAUUUUGUAUAAAAUUGGUUACAGGGAUUAAUUUGGUGAGGGUGAUAGGUGUGUAGGAGGGGGAGAGGGAUGAGCGCCAUGGGAGGGAGUUGGAGAUGGAGGAAGAGAAGGGGGAAGUUGCAGAGAGGUGAGAGGGAAGGAAGGGGAUUUUGGUGCGGGUUUGGUUUCCUUUUUUCUUUUCUUUUUUUAAUUUUUUAUUUUUUUUAAUAUUUAGUUAAUUUUUUAAUCUAGUUGGAAUUGAAAAUGGGCCCCAUCUCAAGUCAUGUCAGCAUUUAACAAAGAGAUUGACAGAAAACCUAACGGAGGUCUGAUAUUGUAACAAAUUUGUAAGAUGAGGUAUGACAUUGAAAUGUUUUAAAGACGGGAUAUGAAACUAUGAUUGGCCUAAUAGUUGAGGUAGUUUUAUGUAAUUUAUCCUUCAAAGAAAGUCCACCCCACGCAAAUUAACUCCCUAAUCCCCGGAUUUGGAUCCCAUAUCCAAAUCCAAAUCCAAAUUAUGGUGAUCCUAGGGAUCCUCACAUCUUAGCCAUUCAUCGUGUAUCGUGCGGUCAGAAAUUAUUUGACUUUUUUUAUUUAAAAUUAAACACAAAUAGUACCUAACAAAAACUGACCACAUGAUGUACGAUGAAUAACUAGGAUGUGGGGAUCCCUAUGAUCUCCACAAAGUGGAUCCUGAGAGGAUCCUCUUCCUUAAUUUCCACCAUCAUCAACACAGAACCAAUAUCUUCUCCAGUCUUCACACACCUAUCGACACUUCAAGAUCAACUUGGUAUUUAUAUUUAUUCUAUGAAGAAAUGGCUUUUCUCAAUUGUAAGGGAUUAAUAAUCUUACUAAAAAUGAUGAAAAAAGGGUUACAUGAAUUGUUGUUUGUACAAAAAUUAUGAAUAAAAAGUUGUAGUUUAUCGUUUAAUGUUUCAAUUUUAUUUUCAUCUAAUUUUUUGGAGCUUUUUAUGAAACUUUAUAGGCCUAAGCAUGGUCCAUUACCAAUAUCACUGAUAUGGUCCCAACUUAACCACCUAUGGCUAGGUGUUGGGUUUUAUCCCAAAAGGACUGAUGAUAUUAGUGGUGAAAACUCUUAUAUAUUGAUUGUAUAUUAUUUUGUCAUAUGAUCUAUGUAAGAUCUUAUUCUCCAACACUUUUUUACUAGGACUUCUCGAUAAUAAAUCAUGAAUCCACCACUAUCCCCAUCCACACUUGAGAAUUUCAAACAAGUGGAGCUUUCCAAUUGUCCUUGAUAACAAGAGGAUUCUUGGUUGGGUAAUGUAAAUUCAUGAUAAAGAUGAAACUCAUGUGUUUGCAGCUAGGAUGGUAAAGAGGAUUCCUAGGUAAUUGUUUGGGCCUAAAAUAUUGGUUUGGGCCGAGUUUAGAAUGUUCUCGACUUGGAAGCAUUGUUCAAGGGCCGGAUACAAUAAGGAGUCUCGGUAGGAUGAGGAUGUUGAAAGUUGGGAAUGAAUGCGGCCUGAUAAGGGGUUGAGUUCAAAGUCCUAAUAGGAGUGGAUUGGCUGAGAUAAGAUUGGAUCGGGGUGAAGAGUCCUAAUCCGAGUAUAGGUUUGAUUCGAUCAGAAGAAGGUUUGCAACUAUAAAUAGAGGGAGGGGUACAUCAUUUAAACUCUUUUCAAUUCAACACACAAACUGCCAUGCGGAAAUUCUCGCUCUACGUGAAACCUCUCAACUGUUGGAAAUGUGCCCUAAAGCCAAUCAUGUGAUGAUACUUUACGGACAUUUCACAUGUUAAACUAAUCUAGUUUUACAUAUAAAGGGCAAAGAUUAUUGUUUGAGCCGUCUCAUAUAAAUGUUAUAUGCUUAAACGAUAAAGUCCAAGGAAUAUGUGAUUGGGAGAAUGUAAUCUAAUGAAGUUAGAUUCAUGAGACCAUUCUUUCGUAGACACAUCCUAAACGUUCCUGAUCAUAGGAUUGCCAAUUGGGCGUUGACAGUCCGUUAAGAUCAGUACGUACUAUGUCUUCUCUCAGGGAGAGUGAUUAGUCUCGAAUCAUUGGUGUGUGUGACAUCAAGACAAGUACGGUAGGUGCUCAAUAGAGAAUGAGUUCACUGAACGCGAUCAACGAAGAGUUCUCAUAUUCCAUGUCACGUGAGAACUCAUGGUUGGGAUAAUGCAAAGUAGUCCUUUGACCUGAGGCAUCAUAGUUGUCUUGUGGUUAAGUCCUUGAUCUUUGAUUAUGUCAAAGUCACUCCAUCAGGAGGGUGUCCACGGCAUCGUUGGGGUCAAGCCACUUAUCUAUGGAGACAAGUGAAUGCGCAACAAGGGAUCUCUAACCUUCAAACCGUUUGAGGGAGAAUACUCUCUGAUAUGAUUUGAAUCUCUGGCCAGAGUAUGAAUGAGAUUGAGGAAUGCGUUCCAAAUCACAUUCAAGGUAAUCAUAUAAGCACAAGACACACAUUGGAUAGUAGACAUGAGAAAUAAACUAUCAAACCAAACAAUGUGGUCAAGAGUAUUAGAUUAGAGAAGGACCGUAUUGCAUUUGUAAUCUCGAACUGAAUAGGUUCUCCACCUCUUCUGAUUAGCUUGGAUAACCAUGAUAUGCUGCUAGGUGUCACUCAUGGUUUGUGGAAGCCCUAAACGUGUGUAAUCACUAAAGGGAGAAUUGAAAAUAGUUUCAAUUCACAAUCGAUGUAAAAUGGUUUUAAUCGCCCACUACCUCGCUAAAAGGAACCUAAUGGAUCGCACACCAUAAAAGGUAGAGAUUGGAGAUUAAACGGAAAUGAGUAAGAAUGAUUAAAUGGUUUAAUCAUUUAUUUAUGGCAAGGAUUAAUUAAUAUGUUAAUUAAUCAAACGAAUAAGUUCGUUAAAUGACUUCGGGAUAGUUUUGGACCUUAAGGCCCAAUGGGCUUCGAACGUCAAGCCCAUUAACUUAAGUUGUAUGACAAUUUAAUGAAUAAAGAUUCAUUAAAGCCCAAAAGCCCAAAAUCCCUAAAUGUAUAGCCAUAUGGAAUGAAUUAGGGUUUUGGUUAUUUAGGUCACUUCAAGAAGUGACUAUAUAAAUGACUUUAUAGCCAAAUAUUCAUGAGGGAUUAAAAGGUUUUAUUUUUGGGGAAAAUUGGUGAGAAUUGUCUCUCCAUUUUCUCUCUAAAGAGGCCAACACCUUGGAGGGUACAUCUAGCAAUCCUACUACUCCAAGGUCACUCAUUUCUACAAUCUAACCUUGGUGAAGAGACUUAGAGGUUCUCAAUUUUGGGAACUUGGAGAACCUAUUCUUCCAUCCAAAUCCAUGGAUCUAAGAAGCAAGGAAUGAAGGCCCUAUCUCUUUGGGUGAUUAGCCUUUGCUUAUGCAAAGAGGAAUCUACAAAGGUAUUAAUUUCAACUCACUUUGUUUUGAGUUGAUUAUUGGUUCACCAAUCUACUAGGCUUUGAAUUUCAUGGUAAUGUUUUGUUUUUGAGUGCAUACAAGCAUGAUUCCGCCUUUAAUUGUUAAUUGCAUGCUAUAUGAUGUUGCUCAAAUGAACAUGUUUUCCCAAAAGAUUUCCUUCAUCAACAACCUUGAGAUUUUUAUUUUCUUUUUCGCCGACACAUCUUCAGUUUGGAUAAACAGCAUUAUCACCGUAGAACCAGCCGACAACGGAACCCCUUCAGUUUGGAUAAACAGCACUGCGUCGAGGCCAACUGGUUAUCUAUCCAAGUCUCGGUCGAGAAAGACUUUCAGGUCUUUAUUGGCAGAGGUCAUCUCAUUAGCCUUUUUGGUGAGGUGAGGUGUUACAGUCUACUAGGGCUCGGUACAUUGAACGCCGAGUUGUUUUAUGAUUGGAUACUCACAAGUAAGCUUUAGAGUUCGGCAUUCUAAUGGCCGAACCACAUUUACCAUCAAGACAUAUAUCUGUUUUGAGUAUCUGUUCCCCUAUACUCUGGUGUCGAUUCGGUGUGCUUAUACCCUUACAAAUAUAAUCACUGUGACCGAAUCCGGCGCCGACAAUUUAUGAACUUCAUAAAAUUAGCAGCCUUGUCUUCAGGCUAUAGAACCCAAAGGCCGGGACGUGUUUCUUCCUUGGUCGCAGUCGCAAAAUCGAGAAGUCAGCCGCACGCUUAACGCAACAUCAACACAUUUUACUCUUGGGCCAAGCUCAGCCGACAAGUUGGCAUGCCCCGCAUCAACCGAAUGACGUAGUUAGCUCAUUAGUUACUCAGCUUGUGCGCCACGUAGGCUUGGUAGUUUUUAGGGUCAACAGUAAUGUAACCUUCAUGAUUAACAUGAAAUUGUAAUGUAUUAUAGUGAAAGUAUGGUUAGUCGAAUGCAAUUAGGUCUGUUAUACUGUUAGAAUUUAGGCUUUAAUUUUCUAGGAGAUGAGGCAGUGAAGGUUACUAAGAACACAGAUCCUAUCCUAAUCUGUGCAACCAGAGCCCGGAGAUCUCUCUAAAAGUUAUAAUAAUUAUAGCCGUUAUAUCAAAUUUCAGCGGUCCGAAUCCAUUGAUCCCCGGGCUCUAGUUGCACAAAUCCGGAGAGGAUAUGUGUUCGGUUACUAAGGAGAUGAUCUAUGUUCGGUUACUAAGACUCGUUGGAUACUAGUUUCUCUAAUUUUGUUUAUAGCUUUUAUUUUUUAGGAAAACUAAUGAAAAUGGCUUGAAAACCUUAAGUUUUAAUGAUAAUGACAAAAUAAAUGGUUAAGUGAAUAGUACAAUAAUUGACUUUUUAGUGUAAAAAUGUAAUUUUUAGUUAAAAGAAACAGUACAGCGGACUUUUCGUUAAAACUUCAUUUUCUUCUUUUUUUUAUAUUAAAAAUCAACAUAAUUAAAUUUGAGAUUAAGUGUUUAGAUACAUGUAAGAAAUAAGCGAAGAGACAUAAAAAACUUCAAAUUGGGGACAUCAAACCCUAAGUCAUCUCUCACCCACUUAAAAUUAGUUUGACAACAGCCAUUUAGUACUACGGUCUAAUGAUAUUCCUCUUUAUUUGUAAAUAAAAAAAUUUAGAUUCGAUUCUCGUCAAAGGCGAACUUGAAUCACAUAUUGCUAACCCAUUGUGAGGCUUAACCCACUCUUCCACUUUUUUGAGUAUAGAUAAUAUCGUUUGUUUAAAAAUUAGUUAGACAACAUAAUUGAGUUUAGUAUUUUUUUUUUUUCUUAAUUAACAUGGUACCUAAUUUUAUAAUACCAAUUUGGAGUCUUUUUAUAAGUAACAAUUAUGUUUUGGGCCGAAAAGGAACAAACCCAAAACAAGGCACUUUCAAGAAGGUGGUAGAAGCUGAUGGAACUCUCUGGUUUUUUUUGUUUUAUCCCUUCUGGAUAGCUGCAGAACUUUCUGUAGUUCUCAGAGAAACCUUCUGUGCCGUCCUAUAUAUAUACAAGUCACUCCGGUACCCACCCAAUCAGAUAGAAUUAUCCAAAGCAAUCUAAGCAAAAAUCUCUCACUCAUAUCCUUCGAAUUCACAUCCAGCAUCUAAUGGCUCUCAGUCUCUUUGGCGGACGACGAAACAACGUCUUCGACCCUUUCUCUUUGGACAUCUGGGACCCAUUCGAGAGCUUCGGCCCUCUGGCCAACUUCCCCUCCUCCGCCCGUGAAACCACCGCCAUCGCCAACACCCGCAUCGACUGGAAGGAGACCCCGGAGGCUCACAUCUUCAAGGCGGACCUGCCGGGGAUCAAAAAGGAAGAGGUGAAAGUGGAGGUGGAGGACGGGAGGGUGCUGCAGAUCAGCGGGGAGAGGAGCCGAGAGCAGGAGGAGAAGAACGACACGUGGCACAGGGUGGAGAGGAGCAGCGGCAAGUUUAUGAGGAGGUUCAGGCUGCCAGAGAACGCGAAGCUUGAUCAGGUGAAGGCGGCGAUGGAGAACGGGGUGCUGACUGUUACUGUGCCGAAAGAGGUGAAGAGGCCUGAUGUCAAGGCCAUUGACAUCUCCGGCUAAACUAAAUUCGUAUAACCUCGGCUACUUUUAGGUUUAAUGUCAUAAUUAUGUUAAAUGAUCAUGGUUUGUUGACAUUGUUGUGGUGUCAGCUCCUGCUUUUUGUUCUUGUAUUUCAGUGUCUCUGUGUCAAUUUUCAUGUAUGGUUUCUGCUUGUGAAAUAUUAUAAACCUUAAUAAGGGUUUUGAGUACACUUAUUUUAAUUCAAUCAAUUCAAAUUAACUCAUAAUUUCAAUGAAAAAACAAUUGCAAAAUUAUCUAUCCUACCGGGAAGAGUGGAGAUGCAAGAAUCGGACGGAGGUACGUGUCCGUCUUUUCUUCCUGGUCGCGCUUCCUCACCCCACUGAUCUGGAGGAUCCGACCAUCCUCCACAUGAACCUUCACCAUCUCCUUCCGGAGCCCCGGCGCGUCCGAAUCAUACGGAUGACGACGACUGGGAAGGAGAGUGGGCGUACAUGAAGAGGUGUGUAGGGGAGAUGAAGCGUAUGAAGAACGUCGACAACCCAGAGGAGAACCUCCAAGGUGUGGACGACGCAAAGCCCGAUGAUGAGGAGGAAAAUAACGGCACGGCCUCUUCUCCCGAACCCCAAACCAAAACACAAAAAAAUCCGAUCGAUUAGUGCUAAGAAUUUGAAAUUUAGGGAUAGGGUUUGGAUGGAAUUGGGGUAUUUUGUAUAAAAUUAGUUACAGGGAUUAAUUUGAUGAGGGUGAUGGGAGUGUAAGUGGGGGAGGGGGAGGAGCCCCAUGGGAGGGAGGUGGAGAUGGAGGAAGAGAUGGCGGGAGUUGCAGAGAGGUGAGAGGGAAAGAAGGGGAUCUGGGUGUGGGUUUGGUUUUUCUUUUUUUUUUCUUUUUUAACAUUUAGUGAAUUUUUUAAUUUUUUAAUCUAGUUAGAAUUGAAAGUGGGCCUUAUCUCAAGUUAUGUCAGUAUUUAAUAAAGAGAUUGACAAAAAACCUAAUAGAUGUCUGAUAUUGUAACAAAUUCGUAAAAUGAUAUAUGACAUUGAAAUAUUUUAAAGACGGAAUAUGAAACUAUGAUUGGCCUAAUAGUUGAGGUAGUUUUGUGUAAUUUACCCUUUAAAGAAAGUUCACUCCACGCAAAUUAACUCCUUAACCCCCAGAUUAGGAUCCCAUCCAAAUCCAAAUUAUGGGGAUCCUAAAGAUCUUCACAUCUUAAUCAUUCAUCGUGUAUUGUGCGGUCAGAAAUUAUUUGACUUUUUUAUUUAAAAUUAAACACAAAUAGUACCUGACAAAAACUGACCACACGAUGUACGAUGAAUGACUAGGAUGUGGGGAUCCCUAUAAUCUCUACAAAAUGGAUCCUAAGAGGAUCCUCUUCCCUGAUCUCCACCAUCAUCAGCACAAAGCCAAUCUUUUCUCCAGUCUUCACACACCUAUCGGUACUUCAAGAUCAACUUGGUAUUUAUAUUCAUUCUAUGCAUUGAAGAAAUGGCUUUUCUCAAUUGUAAGGGAUUAGUAAUCUUACUAAAAAUGAUGAAAAAAGGGUUACAUGAAUUGUUGUUUGUACAAAAAUUAUGAAUAAAAAGUUGUAGUUUCGUUUAAUGUUUCAAUUUUAUUUUCAUUUAAUUUUUUGGAGCUUUUUGUGAAACUUUAUAGGCCUAAUCAUGGUCCAUCACCAAUAUCACCGAUAUAGUCCCAAAUUAACCACAUAUGGCUAGGUGUUGGGUUUUAUCCCAAAAUGACUAAUAAUAUUAGGGAUGAAAACUCUUAUAUAUUGAUUGUAUAAUAUUUUGUCAUAUGAUCUAUGUGGGAUCUUAUUCUCCAACAUUUUUUUAUUAGAACUUCUCGAUAAUAAAAUCCUAAAUCCGCCACUGUCCUCAUCUACACUUGAGAAUUUCAAAUAAGUGGAGCUUUCCAAUUGUCCUUGAUAACAAGAGGAUUCUUGGUUGGGUAAUGUAAAUUCAUGAUAAAGAUGAAACUGUAAACACCUAGUCGUGUGUUUGCAGCUAGGAUGGUAAAGAGGAUUCCUAGGUAAUGUAAACUUCAUGAUUAACAUGAAAUUGUAAUGUAUUAUAGUGAGAGUAUGGUUAGUCGAAUGCAAUUAGGUCUGUUAUACUGUUAGAAUUUAGGCUUUAAUUUUCUAGGAGAUGAGGCAGUGAGGGUUACUAAGAACACAGAUCCUCUCCUAAUCUGUGCAACCGGAGCCUGAGGAUCAAUGGAUCCGGGACAUUGAAAUUGAAUCCAACGGCUAUAUUAUUAUAACUUUGAGUUUUAACGAUAAGGACAAAAUAAGAGGUAAGUGAUUAGUACCAUGAUUGAUUUUUUAGUGUAAAAAUGUAGUUUUUAGUUAAAGUGAACAGUACCACAGACUUUUCGUUAAAACUCCAUUUUCUUUUCUUUUUUUUAAUUAAAAAUCAGCAUAGUUAAAUUUGAUAUUAGGUGGUUAGAUACGUGUAAGAAAUAAGCGAAGAGACAUAAAAAACUUCAAAUUGGGGACAUCAAACCCUAAGUCAUCUAUCACCUACUUUAAAAUUAGUUUGACAACAGCCACUUAGUAUUACGGUAUAGUGAUAUUCCUCUUUACUUGUAAGUGAAAAGUUUUAAGUUCGAUUCUCCCCAAAGGCGAACUUGAAUUACAUUAUUGCUAACUCAUUGUGAGGCUUAAUCCACUCUUCCACUUUUUUAGUGUAGAUAAUAUCGUUUGUUUAAAAAUUAGUUAGACAACAUAAUUGAGUUUAGUUUUUUUUUUCUUAAUUAACAUGAUACCUAAUUUUAUAAAGGAAAACUAAUGAAAAUGGCUUGAAAACUUUGAGUUUUAAUGAUAAGGACAAAAUAAAGGGUAAAAUGAAUAGUACCAGAAUUGACUUUUUAGUGUAAAAAUGUGGUUUUUCGUUAAAGUAAACAGUACCGGGUGCUUUUCGUUAAAGUUCCCAUUUUAUAAUACCAAUUUGGAGUCUUUUUGUAAGUACCAAUUAUGUUUUGGGCCGAAAAGGAACUAACCCAAAAAAAAGCACUUUCAAGAAGGUGGUAGAAGCUGAUGGAACUCUCUGGUUCUUUUUUGUUUUAUCCCUUCUGGAUAGCUGCAGAACUUUCUGUAGUUCUCAGAGAAACCUUCUGUGCCGUCCUAUAUAUAUACAAGUCACUCCGGUACCCACCCCAUCAGAUAGAAUCAUCCAAAGAAAUAUAAGCAAAGAUCUCUCACUCAAAUCCUUCGAAUUCACACCCAGCAAAAACCCAACUCUAAUCCGGCAUCUAAUGGCUCUCAGUCUCUUUGGCGGACGACGAAACAACAUCUUCGACCCCUUCUCUCUGGACAUCUGGGACCCAUUCGAGGGCUUCGGCCCUCUGGCCAACUUCCCCUCCUCCGCCCGUGAAACCACCGCCAUCGCCAACACCCGCAUCGACUGGAAGGAGACCCCGGAGGCUCACAUCUUCAAGGGGGAC
rnacentral:lncRNA from 1 species